CCUACGGGAGGCAGCAGUGAGGAAUAUUGGUCAAUGGUCGGGAGACUGAACCAGCCAAGCCGCGUGAGGGAUGAAGGUACAGAGUAUCGUAAACCUCUUUUGUCAGGAAACAAAGGCGGGGACGUGUCCCCGGAUGAGUGUACCUGAAGAAAAAGCAUCGGCUAACUCCAUGCCAGCAGCCGCGGUAAUACGGAGGAUGCGAGCGUUAUCCGGAUUUAUUGGGUUUAAGGGGUGCGCAGGCGGUCUGUUAAGUUCGCGGUCAAAGCCCGGGGCUCAACCCCGGCCCGCCGUUGAAACUGGCAGUCGCGAGUUGGAGAGAAGUAUGCGGAAUGCGCGGUGUAGCGGUGAAAUGCAUAGAUAUCGCGCAGAACUCCGAUUGCGAAGGCAGCAUGCCGGCUCCACACUGACGCUGAGGCACGAAAGCGUGGGUAUCGAACAGGAUUAGAUACCCCGGUAGUC
rnacentral:rRNA from 1 species